AGCGAACGUUAGCGGCAGGCCUAACACAUGUAAGUCGCACGAGAAUUCGGCUUCGGCCGAUAGUAAAGUGGCGGACGGGUGAGUAACACGUGGAUAAUCUGCCCUUCGGCGGGGGACAACAGUCCGAAAGGAUUGCUAAUACCGCAUACGUCAACGAGGUCUUCGGACCUUGUUGGGAAAGGUGGCCUCUUCAUGAAAGCUACCACCGAAGGAUGAGUCCGCGUCCCAUCAGCUUGUUGGCGGUGUAAUGGACCACCAAGGCUAAGACGGGUAGCUGGUCUGAGAGGAUGAUCAGCCACACUGGGACUGAGACACGGCCCAGACUCCUACGGGAGGCAGCAGUGGGGAAUAUUGGGCAAUGGGCGCAAGCCUGACCCAGCCAUGCCGCGUGAGUGACGAAGGCCUUUGGGUCGUAAAGCUCUGUGGGGAGGGAAGAAACAGCUUGUGGCUAACAUCCACGAGCCCUGACGGUACCUCCUUAGCAAGCACCGGCUAACUCCGUGCCAGCCGCCGCAGUAA
rnacentral:rRNA from 1 species